GGCCGAUGAUGCGAUAGUAUUGUCCGUACCAUCUGAGAUCCGGUGAUGCCGCCGCCUCUCUGAUGCUAUAUCUUUCUUCUGAGGCCG
rfam:Musa acuminata subsp. malaccensis Doubled-haploid Pahang (DH-Pahang) genomic chromosome, chr9